rnacentral:rRNA from 1 species
UGGGGAAUAUUGGACAAUGGGCGAAAGCCUGAUCCAGCCAAGCCGCGUGUGUGAAGAAGGUCUUCGGAUUGUAAAGCACUUUAAGUUGGGAGGAAGGGCAUUAACCUAAUACGUUAGUGUUUUGACGUUACUGACAGAAUAAGCACCGGCUAACUCUGUGCCAGCAGCCGCGGUAAUACAGAGGGUGCAAGCGUUAAUCGGAAUUACUGGGCGUAAAGCGCGCGUAGGUGGUUUGUUAAGUUGGAUGUGAAAUCCCCGGGCUCAACCUGGGAACUGCAUUCAAAACUGACUGACUAGAGUAUGGUAGAGGGUGGUGGAAUUUCCUGUGUAGCGGUGAAAUGCGUAGAUAUAGGAAGGAACACCAGUGGCGAAGGCGACCACCUGGACUAAUACUGACACUGAGGUGCGAAAGCGUGGGGAGCAAACA